CGUGCCGGCUGAGGGGCCGGCUGCGCUCAGGGCGCGCGUUUGUUUACUGCUCGGGUGUCGCUCCUGUCGGCGAGGAGCUGCUGAACUGAGCAGGGGAAGACAGUUCGUAGAGAACUGGAAAACGGACAGAAGGACUUCUGCUGCAAACACAUGCAGCCCCCUCAAAUCUCAGCAAGGAAGGGAAACAGCGGUCGUUAAAGCAGGAAGAACAAAGCACAAUGAAACCAUCUUUGCCAACCUGAAUUACGCAGGUCAGGACUGCAAUACAAGAGAACUUUCUGCUGCGUGGGCCCGAACAGGAUCUGGGGAGGAGAAGAACGGUAGCAGCAACUUUUUACUGGCACCAGUCCUUGAUUUCUUAUCACUAGAACUGGAAAAGGGCCUGAAAGAUGCCAGCCAUUUAGUUAAGUUACUGUAAGUUGCUGAAAGAUUACUGUUAAGUGUGAAGCUUCUCUAAUAAGAAACUAUAGGAGCACCUUGCCCACAGGCUGAAUUCUUUCUAAACCUGUACAAUUAAGGACUGACACUACUCUCCAUGCAUUCUGCCAAACAUUCAAAUAUUGAAAUCUGUCUCCACACAAUUUGCUAGAUGUUUUUGUCCAAGUCUUCGUUAUUUCUGUUUCUGUUCUAUUUCACUUCCAUAGCGUUGUUUCUGUGUGUAAAAAAAAAAACAUGAAUGACAUUUGGGUGGUAGGAGGUGAAGUGCUGCAGAGCAAUUCACCCAGUGCUUUGCUUGCUUUGUGCUUUUAGAGAAACAGAUUUGUGUUUCUUCGUCUGCCACACAUUUUUCGGACCAUCAUGAUGUUCAUGCAUGAUAGGAAAGGAAAUCUAUUAGGUUUUAUUUCACGUGCUUCCCUGAAACCUGCCUGUGUGUUUGGCAUUCUUGCUUUGCUAUGUGGAAAACUGAACUGUAAAUACUUUGAAACCAGCUCUUGUCUUUUUAAAAAUUCCUCUGAAGCCUUUAGCACAUUCCCUAGCGACAUUUAUAAUACUGAGUGUUAUUUCCUAAUGGCACUAUAGUGGAAAAAAGAAAUCAUAGCUCUCUGAGUGCUGUGAUUCAGAUGUAGUUGCUGUUUGAAGAGGAAGCUGGAAGAGGUUGCUGGAAGACACAAAUGACUAUCUUUCAACAGCACGUGCUGGAUGGAGGCACAGAAGACAGCAGAUGAAUCACAUUUCAUACACAUUAACAGCACUUCAGCAAACAAUGAAAGUCAGGGACUGAGGAUUAUGUUGAAAAGUCUAGUUUUCAUCUCACAUCUAUGCAUUUAGACUUAUUUCCUUGUAUGAAUGGACCAUAAGAGGUCUAAACCUGGAAACAGUUGAAGUUCAGUGCAUUACACAGGCUUCAGAUUUCACAGAUAACGGGAUUCACAAAACAAUCUAAUUUUGAAGUUUUAUUUAUAGUAAUAUAGAGAAAUUUCCUCCAUACUUUAAGUGUUAUAAUUAAACCUCUUAUGACUGUGAAAUCACAUGUAGAAAACUGACGUAGUGAAGGGCAUAGUACUACCUCAGCAGCUGAGCCAGCAGUCGUCUAUCAUAAACAGAUGAACCUGUGCUGUCUAGUUUUCAGUUCUAAUGUCCAGACUGUUAAUUAGUCUUUCCAGUGGAGCCAUUAGUUGCCUAUGUGUUCUCAACAUUUUAUCACUGUUACUUCGUUGUAGAAAUUUCCUCUUUACUUUGGUUCCUCCUGUUUCUUCUUCAUUGAUGUAUCCUAUGAACUUCAUCUUGUGUGCUCUGCCACCUCCUGCAUAGAUGUAAUGAUGCAUUCUUUCAUUUGUUGAGGACAGGUAGCAAACAGGAUUACCAUGAGUAAAUGUGUAUGAAGUGGAGCAGGCGCAUUGCUAAGCAUGAAGAAGCACUAUGAGGAGUUCCUCAUGAAGAUUCAAGAUUGCUGUAUAAGUGCUGAGCACAAGUAGUUUUACACAAAAUGAAUAAUAGAGCUAUCCAUUAAAA